rnacentral:tRNA from 1 species
GGAUAGUUAGCUCAGGGGUAGAGCACUGCCUUCACACGGCAGGGGUCACUGGUUCGAUCCCAGUACUGUCCACCA